UCUGAGAUUACAGGUGUGAGCCAUCACAUCUGGCUAGGAGGUGUGGAGCUGAAACUUAAAUCAUGACCUGGUGAUCGAGAACCAUCUGCGCAAAUGUCUGGGUCGGAGCAUUCCAGUCACAGGGAGCAGCAAGUGUAAAACCCCUUGGCAGGAACAAACCUGAAAUGUCCAAGAAGAGCAAGGUGCCAAUGUUACUAGAACCAAGUGAGAGAGGGGCAGAAGAUGAAGCCAAAGAAGUAGAAAAAGACAAAUUAUGAAGAUCCUUGGAGGCCAUGAUGAGUUUCAUCCAUUCUUCAACUUCAUACAAAAAGAAUCAUUCCACACCUGGCAAGAGGCAGAGAACAAUACGGUGGAUGGCAAGGAGCCGGAGAAUAAAAGAAGGAGAAUAGAGAAGCUGCUGGCUGAGAAAAUGACUGUUGAUGGUGGGUGUGGGGACACUGGAGACUGGGAAGGUCGCUGGAACCGUGUAAAGAAGUUCCUUGAGUGAUCUGGACCCUUCACACAUCCCGAUUUCGAACUGAGCACUGCAUCUCUCCAGUUCUUGUUAGAUACAUGUAAAGUUCUAGUCUUUGGAGCUGGCGGCUUAGGAUGUGAGCUCCUAAAAAAUCUGGCCUUGUCUGGUUUUAGACAGAUUCAUAUUAUAGAUAUGGACACUAUAGAUGUUUCUAAUCUAAAUAGGUAGUUUUUAUUUAGGCCUAAAGAUGUUAGAAGACCUAAGGCUGAAGUUGCUGCAGAAUUUCUAAAUGACAGAGUUCCUAAUUGCAAUGUAAUUCCACAUUUCAACAAGAUUCAAGAUUAUAAUGACACUUUCUAUCAACAAUUUCAUAUUAUUGUCUGUGGAUUGGACUCUGUCAUAGCCAGAAGAUGGAUAAAUGGCAUGCUGAUAUCUUUUCUAAGUUAUGAAGAUGGUGUCUUAGAUCCAAGCUCCAUUAUCGCUUUGAUAGAUGGGGAGACAGAAGGUUUUGAAGGAAAUGCCUGGGUGAUUCUGCCUGAAAUGACUGCUUGUAACAAAUGCACUGGAACUUUAUCCAUCACAGGUUAAUUUUCCCAUGUGCACCACUGCAUCUAUGCCCAGGCAACCAGAACACUCUAUUGAGUAUGUAAGGAUGUUGCAGUGGCCUAAGGAGCAGCCGUUUGGAGAAGGGGUUCCAUUAGAUGGAGAUGAUCCUGAACAUAUACAAUGGAUUUUCCAAAAAUCCCUAGAGAGAGCAUCACAAUAUAAUAUUAGCGACGUUACAUAUAGACUCACUCAAGGGGUAGUAAAAAGAAUCAUCCCUGCAGUAGCUUCCACAAAUGCAGUCAUUGCAGCUGUGUGUGCCAUUGAGGUUUUUAAAAUAGCCACAAGUGCAUUCAUUCCCUUGAAUAAUUACUUGGUAUUCAAUGAUGUAGAUGGGCUGUAUACAUACACAUUUGAAACAGAGAGAAAGGAAAGCUGCCCAGCCUGUAGCCAGCUUCCUCAAAAUAUUCAGUUUUCUCCAUCAGCUAAAUUACAGGAGAUUUUGGAUUAUCUAACCAAUAGUGCUUCUCUGCAAAUGAAAUCUCCAGCCAUCACAGCCACCCUAGAGGGAAAAAAAUAGAACACUUUACUUCUAGUCGGUAACCUCUACUGAAGAAGGAACAAGGCCAAAUCUCUCCAAAACAUUGAAAGAAUUGGGGCUUGUUGAUGGACAAGAACUGGCGGUUGCUGAUGUAACCACACCGCAGACUGUAUUAUUCAAACUUCAUCUUACUUCUUAAGGAAAAUGUGCACAUAAUAGAAACCUCAUGGAAAUAAUAUACUUUGUGGAUGCUAAGAAGUUUAAUUGAUGUCAUUUUCAGCAAUAGUGUUGCUGAGAUUUGACUUUUUUUAAUAUAUGUAAUGAACCACUCUUUUUUAACUUUGUAACUUUUCCUUGGAGACAGAAUUUUGGUGUUGGUGCUGGUAAGCAUUUUCAUUAAUAAUAUGGAAAAUGAUACCUAGAGAGAGAGAUUAUGAGGAAAUGUAUUGCUUCUUUUAGAGGUGGAAGCACACACCCUCUUUUGUGUGAAUUUUGUUAUUAUGGUCAAAGAAUGCAUUGCUAGUUUUCAUUUGAGCACCCAGAUACACAAAAGAUGUCCCUUUAAAUAAAAUAAAGAAUUAAGUUUUAAAUAAUAUUAAACAUUACAAUUUGACAUCUGGAGUAUAUUGAACAUAGGCUAUUCCUUGAUUUAAUAUUCAUAUAAUUGUGGCCAUCCAAAUGAAUAUUAAUUAUUGCAGAAUUUAUCUUGUCCAUAAUAGUUUAUAAACAGUGUUAUAGCUGAAUACCUGUGCAUGAAAAUGGGCAAUAUUUUCAUCUGUUUACUUGUAGUGCCAUAGAGGCCAAUAUGCACAAUAUUAACACCAAGACAUGGCUGUUUAAAAAAUUUAAUAUUCAGUUAUCACUGAUGCUUUUACACUAUUUAUUAAUAAAAUCAUAUAUUGU